rnacentral:rRNA from 1 species
AUUGAACGCUGGCGGCAGGCCUAACACAUGCAAGUCGAACGGUAACAGGAAGAAGCUUGCUUCUUUGCUGACGAGUGGCGGACGGGUGAGUAAUGUCUGGGAAACUGCCUGAUGGAGGGGGAUAACUACUGGAAACGGUAGCUAAUACCGCAUAACGUCGCAAGACCAAAGAGGGGGACCUUCGGGCCUCUUGCCAUCGGAUGUGCCCAGAUGGAUUAGCUAGUAGGUGGGGUAACGGCUCACCUAGGCGACGAUCCCUAGCUGGUCUGAGAGGAUGACCAGCCACACUGGAACUGAGACACGGUCCAGACUCCUACGGGAGGCAGCAGUGGGGAAUAUUGCACAAUGGGCGCAAGCCUGAUGCAGCCAUGCCGCGUGUAUGAAGAAGGCCUUCGGGUUGUAAAGUACUUUCAGCGGGGAGGAAGGGAGUAAAGUUAAUACCUUUGCUCAUUGACGUUACCCGCAGAAGAAGCACCGGCUAACUCCGUG